UACGAAGGGGGCUAGCGUUGUUCGGAAUUACUGGGCGUAAAGCGUGCGCAGGCGGCUUCUCAAGUCAGGGGUGAAAGCCCAGAGCUUAACUCUGGAAUUGCCUUUGAGACUGAGAGGCUUGAGUACGGGAGAGGUGAGUGGAAUUCCCAGUGUAGAGGUGAAAUUCGUAGAUAUUGGGAAGAACACCGGUGGCGAAGGCGGCUCACUGGCCCGUAACUGACGCUCAUGCACGACAGCGUGGGGAUCAAGCAGG
rnacentral:rRNA from 1 species